AGUAGAAAAUUAAUAAGUUUUCGCAUAUUGUAAAUGUUCUCAAUUGGUAUGCUGAAGUUCACUGCUGUUUCAAAACCUUUUCCAGCUGACCUACGGAUUUUGACAAACUAGAGUUUAAACUGAGGAAGACAAAAAACGCAUUUGUAGAGAAACUUUAAUAUUAUUUCAGGUGAUGUAAGUUUGGAAAGAUAUUGCCCAAAGACCAGACACAUGUAUCUGAAUGUAUAACACCAACCCAGGGAAAAGGACAGAGGGGAAAAUAAAUUUAGAAUUUCUUACUUCAGAUUAAAUGUUUCAAACUGAAAGGAAA